rnacentral:rRNA from 1 species
AGAGUUUGAUCAUGGCUCAGGACGAACGCUGGCGGCGUGCUUAACACAUGCAAGUCGAACGAUGAACCACUUCGGUGGGGAUUAGUGGCGAACGGGUGAGUAACACGUGGGCAAUCUGCCCUGCACUCUGGGACAAGCCCUGGAAACGGGGUCUAAUACCGGAUACUGACCCGCUUGGGCAUCCAAGCGGUUCGAAAGCUCCGGCGGUGCAGGAUGAGCCCGCGGCCUAUCAGCUUGUUGGUGAGGUAAUGGCUCACCAAGGCGACGACGGGUAGCCGGCCUGAGAGGGCGACCGGCCACACUGGGACUGAGACACGGCCCAGACUCCUACGGGAGGCAGCAGUGGGGAAUAUUGCACAAUGGGCGAAAGCCUGAUGCAGCGACGCCGCGUGAGGGAUGACGGCCUUCGGGUUGUAAACCUCUUUCAGCAGGGAAGAAGCGAAAGUGACGGUACCUGCAGAAGAAGCGCCGGCUAACUACGUGCCAGCAGCCGCGGUAAUACGUAGGGCGCGAGCGUUGUCCGGAAUUAUUGGGCGUAAAGAGCUCGUAGGCGGCUUGUCACGUCGGUUGUGAAAGCCCGGGGCUUAACCCCGGGUCUGCAGUCGAUACGGGCAGGCUAGAGUUCGGUAGGGGAGAUCGGAAUUCCUGGUGUAGCGGUGAAAUGCGCAGAUAUCAGGAGGAACACCGGUGGCGAAGGCGGAUCUCUGGGCCGAUACUGACGCUGAGGAGCGAAAGCGUGGGGAGCGAACAGGAUUAGAUACCCUGGUAGUCCACGCCGU